UGGGGGCUCGUCUAACGGCAGGACGGCUGACUCUGGAUCAGUAAGUAGAGGUUCGAAUCCUUUGCCCCCAGCCA
rnacentral:tRNA from 1 species